UCAUUGUUGUAGAAAUUUUAUAUGAAUUCCUGAUUUAAAUAGGAAGGGUGCACUCUGCAUGAAUUUCGAAAGAGAAUUGGGUUAAUAUUCUCGAACCGGGACAUGGUGGUGGACGACAAUGUUAGGAAAUCUGGAGAUGUCAUCAAGGGCCUGGGAAAAGUUAUCUUUUUUUUUUUAACGAAUUUCCGACCCUAAAAUCGGUUCAACCGGAGAUAGGGUCCAACAUAUGGAAGAGCACCACAUGUCUUGCGGUGUUUGGUGCCCCCUCGGUGGCCAUUAAAAAUAUGGAGAACCGAGUACCAUCCAUGCCCGAUCGUA
rnacentral:ncRNA from 1 species